rnacentral:rRNA from 1 species
GUCUACGGCCAUACCACCCUGAACGUGCCUGAUAUCGUCUGAUCUCGGAAGCUAAGCAGGGUUGGGCCUGGUUAGUACUUGGAUAGGAGAAUUUUACUUUUCCUAAGGUCCUCGGUAAAUGGGGAGA